rnacentral:rRNA from 1 species
GACGAACGCUGGCGGCGUGCCUAAUACAUGCAAGUAGAACGCUGAGGAGAGGAGCUUGCUCUUCUUGGAUGAGUUGCGAACGGGUGAGUAACGCGUAGGUAACCUGCCUUGUAGCGGGGGAUAACUAUUGGAAACGAUAGCUAAUACCGCAUAACAAUGUAUGACACAUGUCAUUUAUUUGAAAGGGGCAUUUGCUCCACUACAAGAUGGACCUGCGUUGUAUUAGCCAGUAGGGAAGGUAAGGGCCUACCAAGGCAACGAGCCAUAGCCGCCCGGAGAGGGGGACCGCCCAACCGGGAACGGGGAACGGCCCAGGAUCCCUACGGGAGGAGCAGGAGGGGAACUUCGGCAAUGGGGGGAAAGCUGGACGGGGAACGGCGGGUGGGGGGAGAAGGUUUUCGGAUCGGAAAGAUCUGUUGUAAGUCAAGAACGAGUGGGGGAGUGAAAAGUUCACGUUGUGACGGUAGCUUACCAGAAAGCGACGGCUAACUACGUG